CCCUUAGAUGUUCUGGGCUGCACGCGCGCUACACUGAUGCACUCAACGAGUUUACGACCUUGCCCGAUAGGGUUGGGUAAUCUUUUUAAAAUGCAUCGUGAUGGGGAUAGAUUAUUGCAAUUAUUAAUCUUCAACGAGGAAUUCCUAGUAAGCGCGAGUCAUCAUCCCGCGCUGAAUACGUCCCUGCCCUUUGUACACACCGCCCGUCGCUCCUACCGAUUGAGUGGUCCGGUGAGGCUUUGGGAUCUGAGCAAAGAGAGCGUUUCGCUCGUUUUGCCCGGAAAACUCAGUCGAACCUUAUCAUUUAGAGGAAGGAGAAGUCGUAACA
rnacentral:rRNA from 1 species